rnacentral:rRNA from 1 species
GGGUUGUGAGGUUAAGCGACUAAGCGUACACGGUGGAUGCCCUGGCAGUCAGAGGCGAUGAAGGGCGUGCUAAUCUGCGAUAAGCGCCGGUAAGGUGAUAUGAACCGUUAUAACCGGCGAUACCCGAAUGGGGAAACCCAGUGUGAUUCGUCACACUAUCAUUAACUGAAUCCAUAGGUUAAUGAGGCGAACCGGGGGAACUGAAACAUCUAAGUACCCCGAGGAAAAGAAAUCAACCGAGAUUCCCCCAGUAGCGGCGAGCGAACGGGGAGGAGCCCAGAGCCUGAAUCAGCAUGUGUGUUAGUGGAAGCGUCUGGAAAGGCGCGCGAUACAGGGUGACAGCCCCGUACACAAAAGCGCAUGUGCUGUGAGCUCGAUGAGUAGGGCGGGACACGUGGUAUCCUGUCUGAAUAUGGGGGGACCAUCCUCCAAGGCUAAAUACUCCUGACUGACCGAUAGUGAACCAGUACCGUGAGGGAAAGGCGAAAAGAACCCCGGCGAGGGGAGUGAAAAAGAACCUGAAACCGUGUACGUACAAGCAGUGGGAGCACAGGUUUACCUGUGAGACUGCGUACCAUUUGUAUAAUGGGUCAGCGACUUAUAAUCUGU